rnacentral:rRNA from 1 species
AGAGUUUGAUCCUGGCUCAGAACGAACGUUGGCGGCGUGGAUUAGGCAUGCAGGUCGAACGAAUCUCACCGGCUGUAGCAAUACAGUUGGUGGGGGAAGUGGCGAAAGGGGCAGUAAUGCGUGGGUAACCUACCUCGGGGACCGGGAUAGCCUUCCUAACGGAAGGGUAAUACCGGGCGAUGCGGCCGAGGGGCAUCUUUUGGCCGUGAGAUGAAUUUCGCCUCGGGAGGGGCUCACGUGAUAUUAGCUUGUUGGUGGGGUAACGGCCUACCAAGGCAAAGAUGUCUAGCGGGUGUGAGAGCACGACCCGCGCCACUGGCACUGAGACACUGGCCAGACUCCUACGGGAGGCUGCAGUCGAGGAUCUUCGGCAAUGGGCGCAAGCCUGACCGAGCGACGCCGCGUGUGCGAUGAAGGCCUUCGGGUUGUAAAGCACUGUCGGGGGGGAGAAAACCGCAAGGUUGAUCUAUCCCCGGAGGAAGCACGGGCUAAGUUCGUGCCAGCAGCCGCGGUAAGACGAACCGUGCGAACGUUGUUCGGAAUCACUGGGCUUAAAGGGCGCGU